rnacentral:rRNA from 1 species
UACGUAGGGUGCAAGCGUUGUCCGGAAUUAUUGGGCGUAAAGAGCUUGUAGGCGGUUUGUCGCGUCUGCUGUGAAAUUUCGGGGCUCAACCCCGAACUUGCAGUGGGUACGGGCAGACUAGAGUGUGGUAGGGGAGACUGGAAUUCCUGGUGUAGCGGUGGAAAUGCGCAGAUAUCAGGAGGAACACCGAUGGCGAAGGCAGGUCUCUGGGCCGAUACUGACGCUGAGGAGCGAAAGCGUGGGGAGCGAACAGG